rnacentral:lncRNA from 1 species
GGGGCCAAGACUUUUCAUAACUUGAGCUAGAGGUUUUUCUACUUAUCCCAAUAAGACAAUUCACUUAAACACAAAGAGCCAUUUCUUUUCCUUUUUCAUUGCUCCCAAAUCAUAAUCACAACUCUCACCCCCCACCUAUAGCUAGACAAUAGAGUGCCCAAUCUAGCAAGAAUGAAUCAAGCAUUGUCGUUCCAGAUACUCUCAACAUUAUGCACAUGUAAGACUUUCC